AUACGUAGGGUGCAAGCGUUAAUCGGAAUUACUGGGCGUAAAGCGUGCGCAGGCGGUUUUGUAAGACCGUGGUGAAAUCCCCGGGCUCUACCUGGGAACUGCCAUUGUGACUGCAAGGCUGGAGUGCGGCCGAGGGGGAUGGAAUUCCGCGUGUAGCAGGGAAAGGCGUAGAUAUGCGGAGGAACGCCGAUGGCGAAGGGAAUCCCCAGGGCCUGCUCUGACGCUCAUGCACGAAAGCGUGGGGAGCAAACAGGAUUAGAUACCCUGGUAGUCCACGCCCUAAACGAUGUCAACUGGUUGUUGGGGAUUGAUUUUCUCAGUAACGAAGCUAACGCGUGAAGUGGACCGCCUGGGGGGUACGGCCGCAAGGUUAAAACUUAAAGGAAUAGACGGGG
rnacentral:rRNA from 1 species